ensembl:miRNA gmo-mir-11220b gmo-mir-11220b
ACCCCUAACAUUAGCUUUUUGAUUGAAAUGUUUUUUACAUUUUAAGAGUGAUAUUCAAAAAGCUACCGCUAGGUGUCA